rnacentral:misc_RNA from 1 species
GAAAUGCGAUAAGUAAUGUGAAUUGCAGAAUUCAGUGAAUCAUCGAAUCUUUGAACGCACCUUGCGCUCCUUGGUAUUCCUUGGAGCAUGCCUGUUCGAGCGUCAUUUGUACCCUCAAGCUCUGCUUGGUGUUGGGUGUUUGUCCCGUCUCCGCGCGUGGACUCGCCCCAAAGUGAUUGGCAGCCGGCGUACUGGUCCCGGAGCGCAGCACAUGUCGCGCAAACGAGUGCCUUGGUACGGCGGCGUCCAUAAGCCCCUCUCUCACGCUCUUGACCUCGGAUCAGGUAGGGAUACCCGCUGAACUUAAGC